GAUGAACGCUGGCGGCGUGCCUAAUACAUGCAAGUCGAGCGAACAGACGAGGAGCUUGCUCCUCUGACGUUAGCGGCGGACGGGUGAGUAACACGUGGAUAACCUACCUAUAAGACUGGGAUAACUUCGUGAAACCGGAGCUAAUACCGGAUAAUAUAUUGAACCGCAUGGUUCAAUAGUGAAAGACGGUUUUGCUGUCACUUAUAGAUGGAUCCGCGCCGCAUUAGCUAGUUGGUAAGGUAACGGCUUACCAAGGCAACGAUGCGUAGCCGACCUGAGAGGAUGAUCGGCCACACUGGAACUGAGACACGGUCCAGACUCCUACGGGAGGCAGCAGUAGGGAAUAUUCCGCAAUGGGCGAAAGCCUGACGGAGCAACGCCGCGUGAGUGAUGAAGGUCUUCGGAUCGUAAAACUCUGUUAUUAGGGAAGAAAAAAUGUGGAAGUAACUAUGCACGUCUUGACGGUACCUAAUCAGAAAGCCACGGCUAACUACGUG
rnacentral:rRNA from 1 species